UCCGGUUGAUCCCGCCGGAGGUUACUGCUAUCGAGGUUCGACUAAGCCAUGCGAGUCGAAUGUAGCAAUACAUGGCGUACUGCUCAGUAACACGUGGAUAACCUACCCUUGAGAUGGGGAUAAACCCGGGAAACUGGGUAUAAUACCCAAUAGAUCUCGACUGCUGGAAUGCAUCGAGCUCCAAAGCUCCGGCGCUCAAGGAUGGAUCUGCGGCCUAUCAGGUAGUAGUGGGUGUAGCGUACCUACUAGCCUACGACGGGUACGGGUUGUGAGAGCAAGAGCCCGGAGAUGGAUUCUGAGACACGAAUCCAGGCCCUACGGGGUGCGGCAGGCGCGAAAACUUUACAAUGCUGGAAACAGCGAUAAGGGGACCUCGAGUGCCAGGUUACAAAUCUGGCUGUCGUGAUGCCUAAAAAGCAUUGCAUAGCAAGGGCCGGGCAAGACCGGUGCCAGCCGCCGCGGUAACACCGGCGGCUCGAGUGGUAACCGUUAUUAUUGGGUCUAAAGGGUCUGUAGCCGGCCGGAUAAGUCUCUUGGGAAAUCUGGCAGCUUAACUGUCAGGCUUUCAGGAGAUACUGUCUGGCUCGAGGCCGGGAGAGGUGAGAGGUACUUCAGGGGUAGGGGUGAAAUCUUGUAAUCCUUGAAGGACCACCAGUGGCGAAGGCGUCUCACCAGAACGGACCUGACGGCAAGGGACGAAAGCUAGGGGCACGAACCGGAUUAGAUACCCGGGUAGUCCUAGCCGUAAACGAUACUCGCUAGGUGUCGGCAACGGUGCGACCGUUGUCGGUGCCGUAGGGAAGCCGUGAAGCGAGCCACCUGGGAAGUACGGCCGCAAGGCUGAAACUUAAAGGAAUUGGCGGGGGAGCACCACAACGGGUGGAGCUUGCGGUUUAAUUGGAUCAACGCCGGAAA
rnacentral:rRNA from 1 species